rnacentral:rRNA from 1 species
CACUGUUUCGGCUAGGGGGCCAUCCCGGCUUACCAACCCGAUGCAAACUGCGAAUACCGGAGAAUGUUAUCACGGGAGACACACGGCGGGUGCUAACGUCCGUCGUGAAGAGGGAAACAACCCAGACCGCCAGCUAAGGUCCCAAAGUCAUGGUUAAGUGGGAAACGAUGUGGGAAGGCCCAGACAGCCAGGAUGUUGGCUUAGAAGCAGCCAUCAUUUAAAGAAAGCGUAAUAGCUCACUGGUCGAGUCGGCCUGCGCGGAAGAUGUAACGGGGCUAAACCAUGCACCGAAGCUGCGGCAGCGACGCUUAUGCGUUGUUGGGUAGGGGAGCGUUCUGUAAGCCUG